CUUCCCCCGUCUAACUCACUCUCAUUCUCACUCUAUCUCUCUCUCGCUCUCAACCCCUCGGAAUCCUAAUUCACGGCCGCCACCGCCUCCGACAAAAGGCCUCCCAACCGCUGCCUCCUCCUCCUCCCCACUCUCAGGAACCCUAGCCCCUAAUCGUCGGCCGCCUCCGCCGACCUCCACUGUCUCCUGCCCAAACACAUUCUAGAACAGCUGACCUCUAAUCUUAAUCCUCUUCAUCUUUCUCCUGCCCUUUAGCCUCCUGCGCCUGGAUGGAGUUUUUUUCCAGACUAAUUGUGUUUUCCUUAUUAAAUCUAUUUGGAUUAGUCAACACAGGCGAAGGCGACGACUGUGGCUGUGGGGCGACCUCCAUAAUGAGGGGAAUGAAUAGUUGAAUUGGAGCGUGAAUUUCGCCGUGUGUGUUGAUUUCUUUUGAUUUCGAUUCACAACAGAUUUGGAGUGUGGAUUUCGCUGUGUCUUGGCGUUUGAUCCUCCAGAUUGAUUUGUAUGUGAGCAAUACCAUGUAUUGUUUCAUUUAAUCCUCUAGAUAUGUGAGCAAAUUUAGCGUGAGUUGUUUCAUUUAAUUCUCCAAAUUUGGAUUUAAAAGCAGAAAUAAAAUCAGAACAUUGAUGUAUAAAAGCUAAAUUUAUAAAUUUGUGGGCUCUAAAUUCCACUA